AGUGGUGGAAUGAGAGGGUUGAGGUGACGCUGGUGAUGCUAAUCGGAGUCAAAACGGCAGGCGGACGUGCCUCCACAUGCCGGAGAGUGAAGAAACAGCUAGAACCUGAGUUGGGCGCGUGAGCCUCACGCGCUUGGAUUCCGGCGACCGGAUCAGAUGCGACGGCCGGUCGGCGGCCAAGGUGUCUCCUGAGCUGGGUGGAAAAAUGAUCCUUAUGAAGCU
rnacentral:misc_RNA from 1 species